rnacentral:rRNA from 1 species
AACGAACGCUGGCGGCAUGCCUAACACAUGCAAGUCGAACGAGAUCUUCGGGUCUAGUGGCGCACGGGUGCGUAACGCGUGGGAAUCUGCCCUUUGGUUCGGAAUAACAGUUGGAAACGACUGCUAAUACCGGAUGAUGACGGAAGUCCAAAGAUUUAUCGCCAGAGGAUGAGUCCGCGUAGGAUUAGCUAGUUGGUGCGGUAAAGGCGCACCAAGGCGACGAUCCUUAGCUGGUCUGAGAGGAUGAUCAGCCACACUGGGACUGAGACACGGCCCAGACUCCUACGGGAGGCAGCAGUGGGGAAUAUUGGACAAUGGGCGAAAGCCUGAUCCAGCAAUGCCGCGUGAGUGAUGAAGGCCUUAGGGUUGUAAAGCUCUCUUACCCGGGAUGAUAAUGACAGUACCGGGAGAAUAAGCUCCGGCUAACUCCGUGCCAGCCGCCGCGGUAA